UGACGGAUUAAGACUACUUGAUACCCUAAGCAAUCCACGCUUGUGGGCCCCCCUAUCUGUAUGACAACUCUGUGUUUAAAGCUU